rnacentral:lncRNA from 1 species
AGGACCCUGCAGCUACAGAGAUCCAAGGAUUCAGAGGUACAGAGUCUGAGAAACAGACUGGGAAGGAGAGCGCCAUGUGCCGAACUGCUGAUCUUCCCCUGCUGUCUGUUGUGCGGAGAGCCAAGACAAGAGUCAACCCUGAGCUUUCCUCACUGCAAGGCAGACUCCACACCAGUGCUGGAGGAAGGGGUCUCGAAACGUUUCACAGAGGAGACCAACACUGUGGAUUGGGAAACAUCACUUCUUGAUUCAGAAACUUGUUCAAAGCAACCAGAGGAGCCAGGGACGUGGCCUGCAAACGUUAUACCACGGAUUGAACCAGGAAUGACUGGAAACCACUGGAGAUCCAGCCUGGCGCACAGUCACUUGGCAAGGUGGCCUCUUUCUCUCUGCAUUGCUUUAAAAAAAAAAAGGGGGGGGGGGUUACUUGAGGGCAGUGGAUUAUGGCUUUUUUGUCAUUUUCUGAAAAGAGGAGCUCCAGAGGGUGAAUGAUUUGAGGCUGCACAUCACAGUUUUCAUUUCUCUAUGCUGACCGGCUCUAUUGGAGAAGGAGCAGUGAUUCCCCAGCUUUUCUGGCUGUGGUCCCCCUCCUCAGAGAAACUUCUUUUGUGGGGAAGAGGUGAGGAGAGGGGAAACCAGAUUCCCAAGUGACUCCAGACUGCUGUGCCUGGUUUGGGGUCAGACAGCCUCGUUUCAGAGUGGCCGUGAAGGUCCCUGCUUGACUGGCGAACAGAUCUCUGCGUGUCUUUGCACCGCUGCUGACAUCCAGACCCUCCGGGCUGAGACUGUGGGAGCUGGAUCCCGACUCCUGGCUUGUGUUGAAGAGGCAUUGCAUGUUUCGAAGGGACAGAAAGUAGUGCCGGAUCUAGGGAGAGAUGCUUCAUCUGGGAAAAAAAAUAAAAUAAAGCAAGUCAGUGGCUGGAAAUAGAAA